UACGAAGGGUGCAAACGUUGCUCGGAAUCAUUGGGCGUAAAGCGCGCGUAGGCGGCCUCAUAAGUCCGUUGUGAAAGUCAAAGGCUCAACCUUUGAAAGCCGAUGGAUACUGUGAGGCUAGAGUCCGGAAGAGGCGAGUGGAAUUCCUGGUGUAGCGGUGGAAUGCGCAGAUAUCAGGAGGAACACCAAUAGCGAAGGCAGCUCGCUGGGACGGUACUGACGCUAAGGCGCGAAAGCGUGGGGAGCGAACAGG
rnacentral:rRNA from 1 species